rnacentral:rRNA from 1 species
GUGCCAGCCGCCGCGGUAAUACGAGGGGAGCUAGCGUUAUUCGGAAUUACUGGGCGUAAAGCGCGCGUAGGCGGUUUUUUAAGUCAGGGGUGAAAGCCCGGAGCUCAACUCCGGAACUGCCUUUGAAACUGGAAGACUUGAAUCUUGGAGAGGUCAGUGGAAUUCCGAGUGUAGAGGUGAAAUUCGUAGAUAUUCGGAAGAACACCAGUGGCGAAGGCGACUGACUGGACAAGUAUUGACGCUGAGGCGCGAAAGCGUGGGGAGCAAACAGGAUUAGAAACCCUCGUAGUCC